AUCGUUCGUUGGCGCAAUACAUAGCGCGUUGGACCUAAUCCAAAGAUCGUGGGUUCGAAUCCCACCUAGGAUG